ACCGGAUCCGCGGGAGACACCUCGACUCGGGAGCAGAUAAAAGAGAGGGUGAGGCCCGGGGCCUUCCCUUUCCUUCAGGGAGAAGAGAGAAUGGAACCUGACCGACUCGGGGGUUGGUUGCCCUGAUGGGAAUCUGUAAACUGCCUGUCAACUAGAAGGUAAGAUGCCUUGUUGCUCCACCGCCUUGACCAACCUGGGGCCACAAUUUACAAGAGGUCUUCUAUUUAGCAGGGCAG